GUCACGGUCCAAAGGUGAUAGGACCAAGGACCCCCAAAAUUGGAAGGAAAAUUGGCUUUACGGGUUGUUAGAGCCAAUUCUGCAUUUGGGCCUCUGUGGCAGCCCAAAUGAGGUUCAACGGGCUUGUGCUGCUGGUUGCAGGGGAAAAAUGCCAACUGGGGCAGAUUGGCCAGCAGACAGGUUGAACGGGCCCGUGGGUGCCAGAGGUGACUGGCACUGUUGGGGAAAACAGGCAGACUUGCGGGCCAGGAGGGCUAACAAGCGAGGUUCGCUGGGGGACUGGGCCAGGCGUGGAGCCCAGC
rnacentral:lncRNA from 1 species